UACGUAGGGUGCAAGCGUUGUCCGGAAUUAUUGGGCGUAAAGAGCUCGUAGGCGGUCUGUCGCGUCGGCUGUGAAAACCUGGGGCUCAACUCCGGGCCUGCAGCCGAUACGGGCUGACUAGAAUUCGGUAGGGGUGACUGGAAUUCCUGGUGUAGCGGUGAAAUGCGCAGAUAUCAGGAGGAACACCGGUGGCGAAGGCGGGUCUCUGGGCCGAUAUUGACGCUGAGGAGCGAAAGCGUGGGGAGCAAACAGG
rnacentral:rRNA from 1 species